rnacentral:misc_RNA from 1 species
GAUGAAGAACGUAGCGAAAUGCGAUAAGUAAUGUGAAUUGCAGAAUUCAGUGAAUCAUCGAAUCUUUGAACGCACCUUGCGCUCCUUGGUAUUCCGAGGAGCAUGCCUGUUUGAGUGUCAUUAAAUUCUCAACCCCUCUCCAGCUUUUGUGGGCUGGUCAUGGUGGCUUGGACUGUGGGGGCUAUCUUGCAGGCCUUCAGGUCAGCUCCCCUGAAAUGCAUUAGCGGAACCGUUUGCGAUCCGUCACGGGUGUGAUAGUUAUCUGCCCCAAAGACGACGAUCUAUCUGUUCAGCUUCUAAUCGUCUGUGGACAGCUUUUGAAACACUUGACCUCAAAUCAGGUAGGACUACCCGCUGAACUUAAGCAUAUCAAUAAGCGGAGGA